rnacentral:rRNA from 1 species
UACGUAGGGUCCGAGCGUUGUCCGGAAUUACUGGGCGUAAAGAGCUCGUAGGUGGUUUGUCGCGUUGUUCGUGAAAACUCACAGCUUAACUGUGGGCGUGCGGGCGAUACGGGCAGACUUGAGUACUGCAGGGGAGACUGGAAUUCCUGGUGUAGCGGUGGAAUGCGCAGAUAUCAGGAGGAACACCGGUGGCGAAGGCGGGUCUCGUGGGCAGUGAACUGACGCUGGAGGAGCGAAAGCGUGGGGAGCGAACAGGA